UACGGGGGGGGCAAGCGUUGUUCGGAAUUACUGGGCGUGAAGGGCUCGUAGGCGGCCAACUAAGUCAGACGUGAAAUCCCUCGGCUUAACCGGGGAACUGCGUCUGAUACUGGAUGGCUUGAGGUUGGGAGAGGGAUGCGGAAUUCCAGGUGUAGCGGUGAAAUGCGUAGAUAUCUGGAGGAACACCGGUGGCGAAGGCGGCAUCCUGGACCAAUUCUGACGCUGAGGAGCGAAAGCCAGGGGAGCAAACGGG
rnacentral:rRNA from 1 species